rnacentral:tRNA from 1 species
GGUUGUGGCUCGGAGGUAGAGCGCUAGCCUAGCAUGCGUGAGGCACUGGGUUCGAUCCUCAGCACCA